ensembl:lncRNA
AUAUUGUCUGCCUCAUCCCAUUAAUAUGUAGGACAAUAUUCAUCCUUCAUUAUAAUUUUUUUUAGCUUUCUUUGACUCCAAAAGCAAUGCUUCUGUUUUUUUUUUUUUUUUAUUUCAGCGUCAAAACGGCUGGGAAGGUGGUCUUCCACAGCAUACGGAUUUUACAUCCGGUUGAAUUCGUUGAGUUCGUUGCACACGUCGGUGUGGUACAACACCGAACUCUACGUUCGCAAUCAAAGGUUCAUAAUUAUCUUUAUACCGUGCACUGUUCAGUUAACUCCUUGUGUCUGAGGUUUUUUCCCUUCACUUUAACAUGAAUGAAGUUGAUGGGUUUUAGGCACUGUGGUAACUGAUUAUUACUAAAAGGUUUUUAUUGACGAAGGGCCUUUUAGAUUGGUUCAGCUGCUGCUCACUAACUCUCACGUUCCUCUGCUCGCAAUGCGAUUCACAUAUCAUUCAAUUUAUCAAAAGAUCCAAAGACAAAGAACAGGUACAUUAUGGUAUCAUUUUAUAUAUUAUUUAUAGUCUUAUUGUUAAUAGCUUCAGUCGCGUUGGUAUUUAAUUUUUCAUUUGCUCGUUUAGCUACGUAUGACAGUUAACAAUGUUGGUGUAGGCCUAUUACAAUUAUUUACGCGUGUAGGCCACUCCAACUCACUCGAUAUUUCAAAAAGAUUAGUGUGCUCUCUCAGAGCUGGGAGAUUUCAUCCUUAUUUUAACAUAUUACUAGACAGUGUUUUCUCACAGUUCUACGGGUUCAUGCGUUCUCGGGUUCAUGCGUUCAUGCGUCCAUGCGUACACGUCUCCUACUCAGACUUUUUCCCCUACACGGGGUAUUUAAUUUUUCAUUUGCUUGUUUAGCCAUGUAUGUCAGUUAACAAUUUUGGUGUAUUACAAUUAUUUAUGUGUGUUGGCCACUCCAACUCACUCGAUAUUUUGAAUAGAUUAGCGUGCUCUCUCUGGGAGUUUUCAUCCUUAUUUUAACAUAUUACUCGAGUCAGUGUUUCUCACAGCGUUCUACGGGGUCAUGUGUUCUACGGGGUCAUGUGUUCUACGGGGUCAUGUGUUCUACGGGUUCAUGUGUUCUACGGGUUCAGGCGUUCUACGGGUUCAGGCGUUCUACGGGUUCAGGCGUUCUCGGGUUUAUGCGUUCUUGGGUUUAUGCGCAAAUGCGUACACGUCUCCUACUCAGACUUUUUCCCCUACAAGGGGCCUGACUUUCCCUGAUGUCGCCUUCUCUGCAAGGUAUUUUUCAUCUAAAAGCGAUAGCCUAGCUGUUACUAUUAUCAUUUCAAUAAUCAACAACUCUCUGUCCUUACGCUUCCAUGUUCCUUUAUCUCAAGCUUCGGCAACGCACGUCCCCGAAUCACCUGUUUAUUUGCGGCCUGCCAAUGACUAAAGGGUGGUUCAGAGUAGAGGUCUGCAUUGGGAUUGGGUCCCGCCGGGUCCCGCGGGACCCAACCCAAAUCUCGCGGGAGCGGGCGGUUUGAACUUUGCUGCGGGCGGGAACGGGCGGGUAAAACAAAACACUGCGGGUUCAGGUCUAACUUAGAAAAGAGACAAUAUCCUCAAUCACUACGUGAUUAUAUAAAGGUAGAAAAAUAAAUAAAAUAGGCCUACAGAAGAGGAGAAUAGAAUAUGAAACAGCCCUUAUUGAAUUGAAAAAUGAAAACAACGAAAUAGGAGCGCUAGACCAGUGCGUCAAAAGACACGCAGCCCAUGAGUCUCUUUUUAAUAGCCUAUAUAAUUACGUGUUUUCUCCUGCGGGACAGGAGAAGACACAAAAUCAAUGCAUCUCUAUUAUUGUGCGGGCAUAAAUUCUCAGAGUUUUGCAGGUGCGGGCGGGAGUGGACAUGCACAUUGCGGGAGCGGGCGGGAGUGUAACACACACGUUGCGGGCGCGGGCGGUAAUGGUCAGAAAAUCAGCGGGAGCGGGCAGGAGCGUGAUGAAGAAAACAGUCCCGCGCAGGUCUCUAGUUCAGAGUCAAUCUCGCGACGGUGGUAGAAGGGUGCGGCCCACCAUCUCCCCUCUACAUUGGCCACUCCUUCCGGAUUGGAGCGGCAACCACAGCCGCUGAACAAGGGUUGCCGGUCGCGUCUAUCAAACGGCUGGGAAGGCGGUCUUCCACAGCUUACGAAUCCUACAUCCGGUCGAAUUCAUGUUUUUUUCUUCAAGCGCACACGAUGCUCUAACGUCGGUUAAGGCAGGUUUAUCACGUUUGCUACUACAGCUGUUUCUGGCGGCCUGUUUCCAUUCUAGUUUUAGUCUUUGUGUCAAGGUGUUACUUUUGUUUUUAUUAGUUUAGACU